rnacentral:rRNA from 1 species
GACUCAACACGGGAAAUCUCACCAGGCCCGGACACCGGAAGGAUUGACAGAUUAACAGCUCUUUCUUGAUUCGGUGGGUGGUGGUGCAUGGCCGUUCUUAGUUGGUGGAGCGAUUUGUCUGGUUAAUUCCGGUAACGAACGAGACUCUAGCCUGCUAAAUAGGCUNUCGCAUUUAGGUGCGCGUGACUCGUCACGAACUCACUGGCGACGUAAUAAAAUUCUUCUUAGAGGGACCGGCGGCUUCGAGCAGCGAGAUUGAGCAAUAACAGGUCUGUGAUGCCCUUAGAUGUCCUGGGCCGCACGCGCGCUACACUGAAGGAAUCAGCAUGUUCUCCCUGGCCUAGAGGCCCGGGCAACCCGCUGAAACUCCUUCGUGCUGGGGAUUGGGGUUUGCAAUUAUCCCCCAUAAACGAGGAAUUCCUAGUAAGGCCGAGUCAUAAGCUCGCGUUGAUUACGUCCCUGCCCUUUGUACACACCGCCCGUCGCUACUACCGAUUGAAUGAUUUAGUGAGGUCUUCGGACCG